GCAUGGCACUCAUUGGGCACUGCAGAGCACUCAUUGGGCACUCAUUGGGCACUCAUUGAGCACUCAUUGGGCACCGCACAGCACUCAUUGGGCACUCAUUGAGCACUCAUUGGGCACUCAUUGGGCAUUCAUUGAGCACUCAUUGAGCACUCAUUGAGCACUGCAUGGCACUCAUUGGGCACUCAUUGAGCACUCAUUGGGCACUGCAUGGCACUGCAUGGCACUCAUUGGGCACUCAUUGGGCACUGCACAGCACUGCAUGGCACUCAUUGAGCACUCAUUGGGCACUCAUUGGGCACUCAUUGGGCACUCAUUGGGCACUGCACAGCACUGCAUAGCACUGCAUGGCACUCAUUGAGCACUCAUUGGGCACUCAUUGGGCACUCAUUGAGCACUCAUUGGGCAUCCAUUGGGCACUCAUUGAGCACACAUUGGGCACUCAUUGGGCACUCAUUGGGCACUCAUUGAGCACUCAUUGAGCACUCAUUGGGCACUCAUUGAGCACUCAUUGGGCAUCCAUUGGGCACUCAUUGAGCACUCAUUGGGCACUCAUUGGGCACUCAUUGGGCACUCAUUGAGCACUCAUUGGGCACUCAUUGGGCACUGUAUGGCACUGCAUGGCACUCAUUGAGCACUGCAUGACACUGCAUGGCACUCAUUGGGCACUCAUUUGGCACUGCACAGCACUGCAUGGCACUCAUUGGGCACUCAUUGGGCACUCAUUGGACACUGCAUAACACUGCACAGCACUGCAUGGCACUCAUUGGGCACUCAUUGGGCACUCAUUGGACACUAAUUGAGCACUCAUUGGGCACUCAUUGGGCACCGCACAGCACUCAUUGGGCACUCAUUGGGCACUCAUUGAGCACUCAUUGGGCACUCAUUGGGCACUCAUUGGGCAUUCAUUGAGCACUCAUUGGGCACUCAUUGGGCACUCAUUGAGCACUCAUUGGGCACUCAUUGAGCACUGCACAGCACUCAUUGGGCACUCAUUGGGCACUCAUUGGCAGUCAUUGGGCACUCAUUGAGCACUCAUUGGGCACUCAUUGGGCACUCAUUGAGCACUCAU
ensembl:lncRNA